rnacentral:rRNA from 1 species
GCAGUCGUGCGAGAAGCCUCUUCGGAGGUGAGUAAAGCGGCGCACGGGUGAGUAACGCGUGGGUAAUCUGCCCUCAGGUUUGGGAUAACCCCGGGAAACCGGAGCUAAUGCCGAAUAAGACCACGAUGACUUCGGUCGAUGUGGGAAAAGGUGGCCUCUUCUUGAAAGCUAUCGCCUUUGGAUGAGCCCGCGUUUGAUUAGCUUGUUGGUGAGGUAACGGCUCACCAAGGCACCGAUCAAUAGCUGAUCUGAGAGGAUGAUCAGCCACACUGGAACUGAGACACGGUCCAGACUCCUACGGGAGGCAGCAGUCGGGAAUAUUGGGCAAUGGGCGAAAGCCUGACCCAGCAACGCCGCGUGAAGGAUGAAGGCCCUCGGGUCGUAAACUUCUGUCGAGAGGAAAGAACGCGUGCGGGUGAAUAAUCCGUACGUCUGACGGUACCUCCAAAGGAAGCACCGGCUAACUCCGUGCCAGCAGCCGCGGUAAUACGGAGGGUGCAAGCGUUGUUCGGAUUUAUUGGGCGUAAAGCGAGUGUAGGCGGCUUGACAAGUCGGAUGUGAAAUCCCGGGGCCCAACCCCGGAACUGCACCCGAUACUGUCAGGCUAGAGUCCCGGAGAGGAUGGCGGAAUUCCCGGUGUAGGGGUGAAAUCCGUAGAUAUCGGGAGGAACACCAGUGGCGAAGGCGGCCAUCUGGACGGUGACUGACGCUCAGACUCGAAAGCGUGGGUAGCAAACAGGAUUAGAUACCCUGGUAGUCCACGCCGUAAAACGGUGAGUGCUCGUUGUCGUGGGUAUUGACCCCUGCGGUGA